ACAAUACAAUAAAGGAGCAGAUGGAAAAACGUCACAAACAAAGCUGCUUGAUGUGCUUCAUUUGAUUGUAGAGUAUAUCCCAUCUGCUUCAAUGCUGCACACUUCAGGUAUCUGUAUGCAUUUACCUUGCCAACUUUGUACUAGUUGAUUCUCAGUCUGUAUCAAUUGAUUCAAAAAAUAAAAUGUUAAAUGUUCAGUCAAUCAAAAGGAAUGCCAGUCUAUUCUUCUUUUGAUUUUGCAUUCAUCUAUUAGAAGGUAAAAGUUUUAUUGGGUCUUCAGAACAGCAAUUUAAUGCAUGAAAAUGUGAUGGUUGAUGGCUCGAAUUUGUUAACCUCUUCAAUUUAAACAUGUGAUAUGAAGAACUCUGCUAAUGUGCAAUAAUCUGAGCUAUGUAAUUAGUAGUCAAGAUGGAAGUUAAAUAGCAUUUUUAAAAUAUAGAAUUGUUAAACUCUUAAGCUUCAUUUUGUUUGGCAACAAAUGCCAGCCACAAAAUUAAAAUAGCACAUUUAUUGAAUCUUAGUGAUACUGUUCCCUAAAAUCAGAAGACUACAUAUAUUAAAUGUCUAAUAACUGGUAUUUAAUUUAAAAAAACAAAAACGUUUUAGUGUAUUUUACAUGCCCCUACAUUUAAAUCAUAGACUGUGAAAUGUAUUGCAUUAGUACAUUGUAAUUUAGCAUUUAUGUAAUUGGUGAUUAGAUUGAGGGCUCAAUAAAAUUAGCCCAUAAUUUAAUAGAUAAGAAGUUAUAUUGAGAUCAACGAUUCCGCAUUAAGGUAUUGUCCAGAUUUAUUAAUUGACGUAGGAAUCCUCGGUUGGGAAUGAUUCCUCUGCAGUCUUUUACUGUAGUAAUGGCUUCUACCAAAUUCAUGUGUUGAUGUAUCAUAAGGUAUGCAAGAACUAAAGUUGCAGAUCUGCUUACUCCCACAGCACAGUGGACCAAAAUCUUACCUAUAAAACAAAACAAAAUAACUGUUAACUUAGCAUUUUCCUCAUUACAUUUGGCAAUG